GCAAAAGGGAAAGAGCCCAGACCACCAGCUAAGGUCCCAAAGUGCGUGUUAAGUGGUAAAGGAUGUGGGAUUUCGAAGACAACUAGGAUGUUGGCUCAGAAGCAGCCAUACAUUCAAAGAGUGCGUAAUAGCUCACUAGUCGAGAGGUCCUGCGCCGGAAAUGUCCGGGGCUAAAACACGACACCGAAGCUGUGGAUCCGAAAGGAUGGUAGAGGAGCAUUCUUAAGUCGACGAAGCUGUACUGUAAGGAGCAGUGGAGAGUUAAGAAGAGAGAAUGCCGGAAUGAGUAGCGAGAUUUAAGUGAGAAUCUUAGAGGCCGAAUAUCUAAGGUUUCCAGGGUAAAGCUGAUCUUCCCUGGGUAAGUCGGGGCCUAAGGCGAGGGCGAGAGCCGUAGUCGAUGGAUAACAGGUUGAAAUUCCUGUACUGCUUAUGGACAGAACUGUGGGGACGCAGAAGGAGAGCACGAGCCGGAAAUGGAAAAGCCGGUACAAGCGUAUAGCAGUCAUGCAGGCAAAACCGCAUGAAAAAUGUAAAGCGUUAUGUGGAUCGAACAUUAGUAGAGAAGCGUGUGAGCCAGCUGCCAAGAAAAGCCGCUAUUGCUUCAUAAGUACCCGUACCGUAAACCGACACAGGUGGAUGAGGAGAGAAUCCUAAGGCCGGCGGGAGAAGUGUUGUUAAGGAACUCGGCAAAAUGACUCCGUAACUUCGGGAGAAGGAGUGCCACAGAGAUGUGGCCGCAGAGAAAUGGCCCAAGCAACUGUUUAGCAAAAACACAGGUCUAUGCAAAACCGAAAGGUGAGAUAUAUGGGCUGACGCCUGCCCGGUGCUGGAAGGUUAAGAGGAGAGGUUAGAGCAAUCGAAGCUUUGAAUUUAAGCCCCAGUAAACGGCGGCCGUAACAAUAACGGUCCUAAGGUAGCGAAAUUCCUUGUCGGGUAAGUUCCGACCCGCACGAAAGGCGUAAUGAUUUGGGCACUGUCUCAACAACACACCCGGUGAAAUUGAAAUACCAGUGAAGAUGCUGGUUACCUGCGCCAGGACGGAAAGACCCCAUGGAGCUUUACUCCAGUUUGAUACUGGGAUUCGGUACUGUCUGUACAGGAUAGGUGGGAGGCUAGGAAAUGGUGACGCCAGUUGCCAUGGAGCCAACCUUGGGAUACCACCCUUACAGUACUGGGUUUCUAACCUGCAGCCGUAACCCGGCUGGGGGACAAUGUCUGACGGGGAGUUUGACUGGGGCGGUCGCCUCCGAAAGAGUAUCGGAGGCGCUCAAAGGUUCCCUCAGAACGGUUGGAAACCGUUCGAAGAGUGCAAAGGCAGAAGGGAGCUUGACUGCGACACCGACGGGUGGAGCAGAUACGAAAGUAGGACUUAGUGAUCCGGUGGUAUAAAGUGGGAUUGCCAUCGCUCAACGGAUAAAAGCUACCCUGGGAUAACAGGCUUAUCACUCCCAAGAGUUCACAUCGACGGAGUGGUUUGGCACCC
rnacentral:rRNA from 1 species